rnacentral:lncRNA from 1 species
AACAUUUUCAUUUUUAUUUGUUUAACAAUAACUUCCGCAGGGUUGUAACCCCUAACUUUAUCUGUAGACUUUUCUAACUUUGAUUUUGUUCACAGGAUCUGAAGGCUGACCCGAAAGAUGAUUUUCUUUCAGCAGUGAGAAAUACAAUUAAGUGCUUGACAAGCCCUGAGAAGUACUUUGAAAAGAUGCUUCGAAUGGCGAUUAACAAGACGGGAACUGAUGAGUGGGCUCUCACUAGGGUUGUUACUACUCGGGCUGA